GAGUUUGAUCAUGGCUCAGAUUGAACGCUGGCGGCAGGCCUAACACAUGCAAGUCGAACGGUAACAGGAAGCAGCUUGCUGCUUUGCUGACGAGUGGCGGACGGGUGAGUAAUGUCUGGGAAACUGCCUGAUGGAGGGGGAUAACUACUGGAAACGGUAGCUAAUACCGCAUAACGUCGCAAGACCAAAGAGGGGGACCUUCGGGCCUCUUGCCAUCGGAUGUGCCCAGAUGGGAUUAGCUUGUUGGUGGGGUAACGGCUCACCAAGGCGACGAUCCCUAGCUGGUCUGAGAGGAUGACCAGCCACACUGGAACUGAGACACGGUCCAGACUCCUACGGGAGGCAGCAGUGGGGAAUAUUGCACAAUGGGCGCAAGCCUGAUGCAGCCAUGCCGCGUGUAUGAAGAAGGCCUUCGGGUUGUAAAGUACUUUCAGCGGGGAGGAAGGGAGUAAAGUUAAUACCUUUGCUCAUUGACGUUACCCGCAGAAGAAGCACCGGCUAACUCCGUGCCAGCAGCCGCGGUAAUACGGAGGGUGCAAGCGUUAAUCGGAAUUACUGGGCGUAAAGCGCACGCAGGCGGUUUGUUAAGUCAGAUGUGAAAUCCCCGGGCUCAACCUGGGAACUGCAUCUGAUACUGGCAAGCUUGAGUCUCGUAGAGGGGGGUAGAAUUCCAGGUGUAGCGGUGAAAUGCGUAGAGAUCUGGAGGAAUACCGGUGGCGAAGGCGGCCCCCUGGACGAAGACUGACGCUCAGGUGCGAAAGCGUGGGGAGCAAACAGGAUUAGAUACCCUGGUAGUCCACGCCGUAAACGAUGUCGACUUGGAGGUUGUGCCCUUGAGGCGUGGCUUCCGGAGCUAACGCGUUAAGUCGACCGCCUGGGGAGUACGGCCGCAAGGUUAAAACUCAAAUGAAUUGACGGGGGCCCGCACAAGCGGUGGAGCAUGUGGUUUAAUUCGAUGCAACGCGAAGAACCUUACCUGGUCUUGACAUCCACAGAACUUUCCAGAGAUGGAUUGGUGCCUUCGGGAACUGUGAGACAGGUGCUGCAUGGCUGUCGUCAGCUCGUGUUGUGAAAUGUUGGGUUAAGUCCCGCAACGAGCGCAACCCUUAUCCUUUGUUGCCAGCGGUCCGGCCGGGAACUCAAAGGAGACUGCCAGUGAUAAACUGGAGGAAGUGGGGAUGACGUCAAGUCAUCAUGGCCCUUACGACCAGGGCUACACACGUGCUACAAUGGCGCAUACAAAGAGAAGCGACCUCGCGAGAGCAAGCGGACCUCAUAAAGUGCGUCGUAGUCCGGAUUGGAGUCUGCAACUCGACUCCAUGAAGUCGGAAUCGCUAGUAAUCGUGGAUCAGAAUGCCACGGUGAAUACGUUCCCGGGCCUUGUACACACCGCCCGUCACACCAUGGGAGUGGGUUGCAAAAGAAGUAGGUAGCUUAACCUUCGGGAGGGCGCUUACCACUUUGUGAUUCAUGACUGGGGUGAAGUCGUAACAAGGUAACCGUAGGGGAACCUGCGGUUGGAUCACC
rnacentral:rRNA from 1 species